ACCCGAAACCAGGUGAUCUACCCUUGGUCAGGUUGAAGUUCAGGUAACACUGAAUGGAGGACCGAACCGACUUACGUUGAAAAGUGAGCGGAUGAACUGAGGGUAGCGGAGAAAUUCCAAUCGAACCUGGAGAUAGCUGGUUCUCUCCGAAAUAGCUUUAGGGCUAGCCUCAAGUGAUGAUUAUUGGAGGUAGAGCACUGUUUGGACGAGGGGCCCCUCUCGGGUUACCGAAUUCAGACAAACUCCGAAUGCCAAUUAAUUUAACUUGGGAGUCAGAACAUGGGUGAUAAGGUCCGUGUUCGAAAGGGAAACAGCCCAGACCACCAGCUAAGGUCCCAAAAUAUAUGUUAAGUGGAAAAGGAUGUGGCGUUGCCCAGACAACUAGGAUGUUGGCUUAGAAGCAGCCAUCAUUUAAAGAGUGCGUAAUAGCUCACUAGUCGAGUGACACUGCGCCGAAAAUGUACCGGGGCUAAACAUAUUACCGAAGCUGUGGAUUGUCCUUUGGACAAUGGUAGGAGAGCGUUCUAAGGGCGUUGAAGCAUGAUCGUAAGGACAUGUGGAGCGCUUAGAAGUGAGAAUGCCGGUGUGAGUAGCGAAAGACGGGUGAGAAUCCCGUCCACCGAUUGACUAAGGUUUCCAGAGGAAGGCUCGUCCGCUCUGGGUUAGUCGGGUCCUAAGCUGAGGCCGACAGGCGUAGGCGAUGGAUAACAGGUUGAUAUUCCUGUACCACCUAUAAUCGUUUUAAUCGAUGGGGGGACGCAGUAGGAUAGGCGAAGCGUGCGAUUGGAUUGCACGUCUAAGCAGUAAGGCUGAGUAUUAGGCAAAUCCGGUACUCGUUAAGGCUGA
rnacentral:rRNA from 1 species